AUUGAACGCUGGCGGCAUGCCUUACACAUGCAAGUCGAACGGUAGAGUAGCAAUACUCGAGAGUGGCGAACGGGUGAGUAAUAUAUCGGAACGUGCCCAGUCGUGGGGGAUAACGUAGAGAAAUUUACGCUAAUACCGCAUACGAUCUACGGAUGAAAGCGGGGGAUUCGCAAGAACCUCGCGCGAUUGGAGUGGCUGAUAUCAGAUUAGGUUGUUGGUGAGGUAAAAGCUCACCAAGCCGACGAUCUGUAGCUGGUUUGAGAGAACGACCAGCCACACUGGGACUGAGACACGGCCCAGACUCCUACGGGAGGCAGCAGUGGGGAAUUUGGACAAUGGGCGAAAGCCUGAUCCAGCAAUGCCGCGUGCAGGAAGAAGGCCUUCGGGUUGUAAACUGCUUUUGUACGGAACGAAACGGCCCUUUCUAAUAAAGAGGGCUAAUGACGGUACCGUAAGAAUAAGCACCGGCUAAUUACGUGCCAGCAGCCGCGGUAAUACGUAGGGUGCGAGCGUUAAUCGGAAUUACUGGGCGUAAAGCGUGCGCAGGCGGUUCUAUAAGACAGAUGUGAAAUCCCCGGGCUCAACCUGGGAAUGGCAUUUGUGACUGUAGAGCUAGAGUACGGUAGAGGGGGAUGGAAUUCCGCGUGUAGCAGUGAAAUGCGUAGAUAUGCGGAGGAACACCGAUGGCGAAGGCAAUCCCCUGGACCUGUACUGACGCUCAUGCACGAAAGCGUGGGAGCAAACAGGAUUAGAUACCCCGGUAGUCCACGCCCUAAACGGUGUCAACUGGUUGUUGGGUGCAUUAGUACUCAGUAACGAAGCUAACGCGUGAAGUUGACCGCCUGGGGAGUACGGCCGCA
rnacentral:rRNA from 1 species